CUUGCUAUUUCACUGCAGAUUAACCAGGCUGUGUGCAAUGUGGACAUAUAUUCUGGAAAUGGCAUAAAUUAUCCCACUUCGUUUGCCUUCUCUGUUGCUUGGUGAGACUGACCCUACUUGGAAAAACUUCAGAUUGGGCCAAACAAGGGUAUUCUUUGGGCUGAAAGAAUGUCCCUGAAAACUCUGAUUUUAUAUACAGAAUGGAAUAACAGCAAACAACAUUGGAGGAGGACUUGUCUGGGAGAGCAGCCAUUUUAAAGAAGAGCACAUUAAGUCACAAACAGUCGCAGCUGAUCUACUUUGCAGCAUCGCCAUACAUGCCUAACUAAAUAUUGAAAUCCCGGGAAAAACUCACUGUGCAUCAUGUUCCAGAAACUAGCUUUGCAAACAGUCUUUUCAGAUGUGUACAUUUUGUGUAUUUGAGGCAUAUAAUAUAUAUAUUUUCCUCCAUGUUCACCCA
rnacentral:lncRNA from 1 species